AUGGCUAAGAUCCGGGAGAGGAAGACGAGGGAUAUUGGCCAAGUCAAAUGCAUCAAGGACGGAGCAGGCCAACUCUUGGUGAAGGACGAGGAGAUUAAGCAUAGAUGGCGGGAGUACUUCGACAAGCUGGUCAAUGGGGAGAAUGAGAGUUCUACCAUUGAACUGGACGACUCCUUUGAUGAGACCAGCAUGCGUUUUGUGCGGCGCAUCAAGGAGUCUGAGGUGAAGCAGGCUUUAAAAAGGAUGAAAGGAGGCAAGGCGAUGGGCCCUGAUUGUAUCCCUAUUGAGGUGUGGAAAGGUCUCGGGGACAUAGCGAUAGUAUGGCUAACCAAGCUUUUCAACCUCAUUUUUCGGGCAAACAAGAUGCCAGAAGAAUGGAGA
rnacentral:rRNA from 1 species